GGAAAGAAGAAGAGCAGUAAAGAAUCGAUGGCAGCCGCCCCAUUGCGUUUUGUGGUUUCUACCGUUUUGAUGAGAGGCAUUUUGCUGGAUUCAAGCAGAGCGGCACACUUGCCAGGUCAAAGUUUUCACUUUUCUUCUCCGUGAAUUUAACUGUCCGCUUUGGACCGUUAGGGUGCCUGAAUAUGCGUCAUCUGCUUGUUUUCUGUAGACCAACAGAAGCGUGUGAGGCGUAUCGAUUCAUGGCGCCAUCUAUAAACGGCAUUUCCCCAACACCUUUUGCAUUCAUGCAGCCCAGGAUCAUCACACUGCCAC
ensembl:lncRNA